rnacentral:lncRNA from 1 species
AGUGUUACCUAUGGUGAUGGUAACAAACUUUAGUGUGCUCUGGUCCAAUGGUGGGGAUCGAGAGCGUAUAAUUGGUUUCAGGUGGGAAUUGGUGAAGCGUUACCUAUGGUUAUGGUAAUGAUUUUGUGUGCUCUGUUCCUAAGGUUGGGACCGGGAGCGAGAUGAACUUGAGUAUUCAUAAAUGGUACCGCAUGCAUAAUGAGUCAGUUGUGGAUCACAUUCCAUGCGUGUUUUCAUAUGUGUUGAUCUUUC